UCUACGUAGCAGAGUUUGAUCAUGGCUCAGGACGAACGCUGGCGGCGUGCUUAACACAUGCAAGUCGAACGGUGAAGCCCUUCGGGGCGGAUCAGUGGCGAACGGGUGAGUAACACGUGGGUAACCUGCCCUGAACUCUGGGAUAACUCCGGGAAACCGGGGCUAAUACCGGAUACGACCUCCCAUCGCAUGGUGGGUGGUGGAAAGUUUUUCGGUUCAGGAUGGACCCGCGGCCUAUCAGCUUGUUGGUGGGGUAAUGGCCUACCAAGGCUUUGACGGGUAGCCGGCCUGAGAGGGCGACCGGCCACACUGGGACUGAGACACGGCCCAGACUCCUACGGGAGGCAGCAGUGGGGAAUAUUGCACAAUGGGCGGAAGCCUGAUGCAGCGACGCCGCGUGAGGGAUGACGCCUUCGGGUUGUAAACCUCUUUCAGCAGGGACGAAGCGCAAGUGACUGUACCUGCAGAAGAAGCACCGGCUAACUACGUGCCAGCAGCCGCGGUA
rnacentral:rRNA from 1 species